UUACCGGGGUGCGGAAGGAAAACGUGAAACGUCCCGCCUAGAAAGUACGGUCGCAAGGCUGAAACUAAAGGAUGGCGGGGGAGCACACAACGGGUGGAGCUGCGGUUAAUGGACUCAACGCCGGGCAGCUCACCGGAUAGGACAGCGGAAUGAUAGCCGGGCUGAAGACCUUGCUUGACCAGCUGAGAGGAGGUGCAUGGCCGUCGUCAGUUCGUACUGUGAAGCAUCCUGUUUAGUCAGGCAACGAGCGAGACCCACGCCAACAGUUGCUAGCAUGUUCUCCGGAAUGAUGAGGACACUGAUGGGACCGCCUCUGCUAAAAGAGGGGGGAGGAAAUGGGCAACGGUAGGUCAGCAUGCCCCGAAUUAUCCGGGCUACACGCGGGCUACAAUGGUCAGGACAAUGGGAAACGGCACUGAAAAGUGUAGUCAAUCUCCUAAACCUGUCCCAAGUUCGGAUUGUGGGCUGCAACUCGCCCACAUGAAGCUGGAAUCCGUAGUAAUCGCGUUUCAAAAUAGCGCGGUGAAUAAGUCCCUG
rnacentral:rRNA from 1 species